rnacentral:snRNA from 1 species
GCCAAGCGUUCAUAGCGA